AAGCAUCACAACGUGUCCCUCAAAUAUAAUUAUUUGAAGAUCCCUUAACCUCAACGGAAGGAAAGAGGCAAAGAAGUAUAUUUGCCUAUAUAUCCAGCUCUCCAUCUCCUCCCUCUUUCUUUCUUUCUUCCUCUGCAAAUCUUUCAUCUUGUAAAUUGGGGAAUUAGGCGUGGCCUGAAGGAUCAUGCAGGUUUUUUCCUCUGUUUUCGAUUAAUAGUUUAUUUGCUUUUAUGAAAAGCCAUCGUAUUUCAUUUCACCUUGGGCGAGCGGAUCUGCGCACUUCGAUCCAAUUAUUAAGCAGUUAUGGAUACAAGUACAGCCCUUGAAGCCUCAUCUUCAUCUUCACCGUCCUCCUCCUCCUCCACCACCUCCUCCUCCUCACCCUACGAUGUGUUCUUGAGCUUUGGCGAAGACACGCGCAAAACCUUCACGGACCACCUCUACUGGACAAUGAAAGACGCCGGAGUUGACUUCUUUAUGGAGGAGAACGAAUCAAUAAGAAGAGGGGAAAAUAUAUCAGAGAAAGUGAAGCAAAUAAUCGAAGGGUCUAAGGUUUCGGUCAUCGUCUUCUCAAGUAGGUAUGCGGAUUCCAUCUGGUGUCUUGAGGAGCUGGUGCAGAUCAUAGAGUGCAGAAGAACACUGAAGCAAAUGGUUCUGCCAAUAUUCUACGAUCUGAGUCCGUCAGAUGUUAUAGCUACUUUCGUACUAGCAUUUCAGAAGCAUAGAGAGCGCUUCCAUGAAGAUACAGAUAUACAAGAAAAGCUACUGCGGUGGACAGAUGCUCUUACUGCAGCUGCAGGUUUGACAGACUGGACAGAUGCCUUACUGCAGCUCCAGGUUUGGCAGUCCGGGUUUUCAGAACGACUAAUGGGUAAGUACGAAGGAACGUUCAUAAGGGAAAUCAUUGCCGGGAUCACAGUUGGAAUAUCUUCUUCCGAGCUUCAAAGAUUAGAUUCUCCCAAGCUCGAAGAUAUCGAUUCUACCGAGCACACAGAUAUAGCUUCUUCCGUGUCUAGCGCCAGCUCUCCCUUCUCUUUGGCGCCGUUGAAAAAGACGCAUCACGAGCCCGACCGCUCUGACGGUACCUCACGCAAGCCUUCGGAGAUAGGCAAAGUUCGGGUGCCGGCGGAUCGUUCUGAAGACGGGUAUAGCUGGUGCAAGUACGGUCAAAAGGAUGUGCUCGGCUCGUCACAUCCAAGAUCAUAUUACAGGUGCACAUACAGAUUCACGCAGGGGUGCCGGGCCACAAAACAGGUGGAGCGCGACCCGGAUGAUCCAGCGAUGCUGACCGUAACGUACAAAGGGGUGCACGUGUGCAGAGCGGCGACAGGAUUUGUCGAAGGGAGGGAUAAAAUUCAAAUAAGUGGUUUGGAGCAGCUUCACUGUGGACUACUUCAGCAACCGAAACCUUUCAUACAAGCUCCCCAGCCCUUUCAUCAGCUUCAGAUGUUGACACCACAACACCAGCAACUUAUGCUUGCUCAGCAAAAUAUGACAUCACCGUCUGCUGCCAAUGAUGAAAGUAGAGAUACAGAUAGGCUGACUAAGUUAAAAAUGGCUCAACUUCAGCAGCAACAAAACAGCAAUCCUCAACAGCAACAGCAACAGCAACAGCAACAGCUUCAACAGCACGCUCUUUCUAAUCAGCAGUCACAAAAUUCAAAUCUCAAUCCCCAUCAGCAAGAUAAAAUGGGGGGUGCUGGCAGCAUCACUAUGGAUGGUAGCAUGUCGAACUCUUUUCGAGGAAAUGAUCCGCUUCUUACAUCACCAUCGCAUCAGUUGUGGGAUGAUAAAGAUCUUGAAUGCAGGCUGAUAUGGAUCGAUUUGUACAGGAUGGGUCUGUUGGUGAUAAUGUCGAGUCUUUUUUAUCCCCUGAUGAUGUGGAUCGUAGAGAUGCUGUUGGUCGAUGUAUGGAUGUCAGCAAAGGGUUCACAUUUACGGAAGUAAACUCUAUUAAAGCAAGCGCAAGCAAGGUUACAAGCUGUCACUUCUCAUCAGAUGGGAAGUUUCUUGCUAGUGGGGGCCAUGAUAAAAGGGCUGUAUUGUGGUACACAGAUACAUUAAAGCUAAAAUGUACGCUACAAGAACAUUCAGCUUUGAUAACUGAUGUUCGUUUUAGUCCGAGCAAGCCAUGUCUUGCAACGUCUUCUUUCGACAAGACUAUCAGGGUUUGGGAUGCCGACAAUCCUAGUUAUUCUCUCCGUACCUUUAUGGGACAUUCGGCCUCUGUUAUGUCAUUAGAUUUCCACCCAAAUAAAGACGACCUCAUCUGUUCUUGUGACGGGGAUGGUCAGAUACGCUACUGGAGUAUUAACAAUGGCUGCUGCUCGUGCGUGUCUAAGGGUGGUACGGCACAAAUAAGAUUUCAACCCCGUCUUGGAAAAUUUCUUGCUGCAGCCGCAGAGAAUGUUGUAUCUAUACUGGAUGUUGAGACUCAGACUUGUCAGUAUUCUUUACAGGGGCAUACUAAGCCUAUCCAUUCUGUGUGUUGGGAUCCUUCUGGCGAAUUCCUUGCAUCUGUCAGCGAGGACUCUGUAAGAGUUUGGACACUUGGAGCAGGAAGCGAAGUGGAAUGCGUUCAUGAGUUUAGCUGCAUCGGAAAUAAAUUUCAUUCAUGCGUUUUCCAUCCUACAUAUACUUCACUGCUGGUCAUUGGCUGCUAUCAGACACUGGAGUUAUGGAACAUGACAGAGAACAAGACAAUGACUCUACCAGCACAUGAAGGACUCAUUGAUUCUUUGGCGGUGUCAACUGUUACAGGUUUGAUUUCUUCGGCUAGUCACGAUACGUUUGUCAAGAUCUGGAAGUGAAAUGGUUGUUACUCUGAUCAAAGAACUUUGACUGACUUGUAUUAAUAUUGUUGUUGUUGUAUUCCUGUUACUAUACAACAAAAUAAAGCUAAUUAAACAUCUAUUUUGAUGCUUCAUGGACUUGUAACGCUUCAAAUACAGAUACUUUUAUGCUUCCGUUUUCCUUUGUUGUAUACAAAAAUCUGAAACCAAAACAGAUAAUGUAAUGUUAAAUUCCAGGGAGUUCUAAAUUUUGGUUAAUUUGGAGCCUGGAA